UGAUGCGAUAGUAAUUCAACCUAGUAUGAGAGGAACCAAUGAUUCACACAAUUGGUCAUCACGUUUGGUUGAAAAGUCUAUAGUGCGAAGCUGCCGUGUGUAGGAUUAUGACUGAACGCCUCUAAGUCAGAAUCCAAGCUAGUAAUGCAGCA
rfam:Zostera marina strain Finnish scaffold_218, whole genome shotgun sequence.